rnacentral:rRNA from 1 species
UGGGAACGUGCCCAUCGGUUCGGGAUAACCCAGGGAAACUUGGGCUAAUACCGGAUACGUGCGAGAGCAGAAAGAUUUAUCGCCGAUGGAUCGGCCCGCGUCUGAUUAGCUAGUUGGUGGGGUAAUGGCUCACCAAGGCGACGAUCAGUAGCUGGUCUGAGAGGAUGAUCAGCCACACUGGGACUGAGACACGGCCCAGACUCCUACGGGAGCAGCAG